rnacentral:rRNA from 1 species
GUGUUUGACCUCAAAUCAGGUAGGAUU